rnacentral:rRNA from 1 species
UACGAAGGGGGCUAGCGUUGUUCGGAUUUACUGGGCGUAAAGCGUGCGCAGGCGGUUGUGCAAGACAGAUGUGAAAUCCCCGGGCUUAACCUGGGAACUGCAUUUGUGACUGCACGGCUAGAGUGUGUCAGAGGGGGGUAGAAUUCCACGUGUAGCAGUGAAAUGCGUAGAUAUGUGGAGGAAUACCGAUGGCGAAGGCAGCCCCCUGGGAUAACACUGACGCUCAUGCACGAAAGCGUGGGGAGCAAACAGG